UACGGAGGGGGCGAGCGUUGUCCGAAGUUACUGGGCGUAAAGCGCGCGUAGGCGGGUUGGUAAGUCCGCUGUGAAAGCCCGGAGCUCAACUCCGGAGGGUCGGUGGAUACUGCCAGUCUUGAAGGUGCUAGGGGGAGAUGGAAUUACCGGUGUAGCGGUGAAAUGCGUAGAUAUCGGUAGGAACACCAGUGGCGAAGGCGGUCUCCUGGGGCAUUAUUGACGCUGAGGCGCGAAAGCGUGGGGAGCAAACAGG
rnacentral:rRNA from 1 species